rnacentral:lncRNA from 1 species
GUGGUGGAGUGCUGAUUCUGCAGUUUUCCAGCAACGGCCUUCGGUGUUCUGGCUCGUGUGCGACGUAGGAAGGUCGGAUUGCGGUGAAACUUGGUUUGCUGGAUUCUAGACUUUAAGAGGAAUCCACGAAGUCUAAUUUUGCAAAUUUUGACUGAGGCUAGUAUGGUUGAAUUAAUGUUUUUCUGGACUGCUGGUAAUCUUGAGCUGAAAAUCUGUUUUCUUGGGUUUUCUUGAUGCUAUUCUUGGAAGAAGCUGGAUUUUGGACCUGAGAUUAAUACUCCAUCAUUAUUCACUGGAUUUAGAACUUGCCUCAUCUGAAUCGGAGAUUAUUAGGUGAGUUUUGAUAUUGGAAUUGAGACAAUUAAGCUUAAGUGCUGAAAUUUUGGUGAAUUGACGAAUUUUGAUAGAUUUUGGGUGUAGAU